GAACGCUGGCGGCGUGCCUAAUACAUGCAAGUCGAGCGAACUGAUUAGAAGCUUGCUUCUAUGACGUUAGCGGCGGACGGGUGAGUAACACGUGGGCAACCUGCCUGUAAGACUGGGAUAACUUCGGGAAACCGAAGCUAAUACCGGAUAGGAUCUUCUCCUUCAUGGGAGAUGAUUGAAAGAUGGUUUCGGCUAUCACUUACAGAUGGGCCCGCGGUGCAUUAGCUAGUUGGUGAGGUAACGGCUCACCAAGGCAACGAUGCAUAGCCGACCUGAGAGGGUGAUCGGCCACACUGGGACUGAGACACGGCCCAGACUCCUACGGGAGGCAGCAGUAGGGAAUCUUCCGCAAUGGACGAAAGUCUGACGGAGCAACGCCGCGUGAGUGAUGAAGGCUUUCGGGUCGUAAAACUCUGUUGUUAGGGAAGAACAAGUACRAGAGUAACUGCUYGUUACCUGACGGUACCUAACCAGAAAGCCACGGCUAACUAC
rnacentral:rRNA from 1 species